GCAGUGGUGAUUAAGUGGUAAAAUUCUUGCUUUCCAUGCAGGAGACCCAGGUUUGAUUCCAGGCCAGUGCA
rnacentral:tRNA from 1 species